UCUCCGUAGGUGAACCUGCGGAGGGAUCAUUACAGAGUUCUCGCCCUCGCGGGUAGAUCUCCCACCCACUGUUAUCGUUACUGUGUUGCUUUGGCGGGCCGCCGGGCCCCGCUCGGCCGCCGGCUCCGGCUGGCGCGCGCCCGCCAGAGGCCCAGCGAACUCUGAAUGUUAGUGUCGUCUGAGUACUAUAUAAUAGUUAAAACUUUCGACAACGGAUCUCUUGGUUCUG
rnacentral:misc_RNA from 1 species